GAUGAACGCUAGCUACAGGCUUAACACAUGCAAGUCGAGGGGCAGCAUGGUCUUAGCUUGCUAAGGCCGAUGGCGACCGGCGCACGGGUGAGUAACACGUAUCCAACCUGCCGUCUACUCUUGGACAGCCUUCUGAAAGGAAGAUUAAUACAAGAUGGCAUCAUGAGUCCGCAUGUUCACAUGAUUAAAGGUAUUCCGGUAGACGAUGGGGAUGCGUUCCAUUAGAUAGUAGGCGGGGUAACGGCCCACCUAGUCUUCGAUGGAUAGGGGUUCUGAGAGGAAGGUCCCCCACAUUGGAACUGAGACACGGUCCAAACUCCUACGGGAGGCAGCAGUGAGGAAUAUUGAUCAAUGGGCGAGAGCCUGAACCAGCCAAGUAGCGUGAAGGACGACUGCCCUAUGGGUUGUAAACUUCUUUUAUAAAGGAAUAAAGUCGGGUAUGGAUACCCGUUUGCAUGUACUUUAUGAAUAAGGAUCGGCUAACUCCGUG
rnacentral:rRNA from 1 species